UAAUACGUAGGGUGCGAGCGUUAAUCGGAAUUACUGGGCGUAAAGCGUGCGCAGGCGGUUUUGUAAGCCAGAUGUGAAAUCCCCGGGCUCAACCUGGGAAUGGCAUUUGGGACUGCAAGGCUUGAGUGCGGCAGAGGAGACUGGAAUUCCUGGUGUAGCAGUGAAAUGCGUAGAUAUCAGGAGGAAUACCGAUGGCGAAGGCAGGUCUCUGGGCUGACACUGACGCUCAUGCACGAAAGCGUGGGGAGCAAACAGG
rnacentral:rRNA from 1 species